rnacentral:tRNA from 1 species
GGGCGGGUGGUCUAGAUGGGAAGCGGAAGAAGACCCUAGACUGGUUAUGAUUCCUGCCUUGGGAGCAGGAGGUCGCCGGUUCAAAUCCGGCCCCGCCCA